CAAGCCUUCUCUUUCUCACCCCACCCUCUUAAAUAAAACUUUGUGGACUUACCCUUUUAUAAGAAGUUUUCCUUUGUGUUUUUGGCUUCCCUUCUAGUUUCUGCUGAAUUUUAUUCUCCAUUUCAUGAAUUUUAUACCAUAAGGUGGCACCGUGGAACUGUUGCUAAGCCUUGAUUCAGGAAGAUGAGUUCAAAUAUGAUUUCAGACACGAGGUCCUUGGUCUCCUUGGAAUGGAGUGAUUUGAAUUCCUUGACGCUGAAGAAGGUAGUGCCACUCAAAAUCUUCAUGUGAAGCAUCAUCUUCCACAGGCAUAUGGAAGCCAAAGAGGUGCUGAGCAAAGUCCAGGAGGAGCUCACCUGCUCCAUCUGCAUGGACUAACUCAAAGGCCCCAUCAUCUGUGACUGUGCCCACAGCUUUUGCCAGUGUUAUCUCCUGAGGAGUUGGGAGGAGGCCUCUUUACAUUUCUCUUGCCCUAAAUGCAGAGAAGUCUCCCAAGAUAGAGACUUUCAAAUCGAUUUCCAUCUAGACAAAAUGGCUGUCCUUACCAAACAACUCAGCCCCCACCACCUAUAGAACACUGAAGGACAAGACAAUUGUGAGAGACAUCAGGAACCCCAGGAUCUGUUCUGUGAGGAUGAGCAGACCCCACUCUGUAUAUGCUGUAUUGAGUCAUAGGACCAUGGAGUGCAAGCAUUCUGUCAGAAGCUGUUGAGACCUACAAGAUGAAUAAAAAGGAGUAGUGUAAAUUCCCUUAACAACAUAAGAGUCACUACCAGUGGUCAUCUGUGCUGCAAGACCCUAGGAUUAAAUCACAGAAUUCUAGAGUUUAAAAAAAGAUCUCAUAGGUCAUCUAAUUCAAUAUAUUACAAAGGUAUCUCUACAAGAUACUUAAGAGGCAGAUUAAUUAAAAUAAUGCUUAAUUGAGGAUGUCCAGUGACUGAAAAAUUACUAAUCCUGAGGCAGUCCAUUCUACUUUGGACUAAAAAAAGGCUGAUAUCAUAGGCAAAUAAAGAGAGCAUAGAAAAAAAUUACCUGUCCGCUCUACGCGUAAGUGAAGA